AUACGUAGGGGGCGAGCGUUGUCCGGAAUGAUUGGGCGUAAAGGGCGCGUAGGCGGCCCGGUAAGUCUGGAGUGAAAGUCCUGCUUUCAAGGUGGGAAUUGCUUUGGAUACUGCCGCGCUUGAGUGCAGGAGAGGUUAUCGGAAUUCCCGGUGUAGCGGUGAAAUGCGUAGAGAUCGGGAGGAACACCAGUGGCGAAGGCGGGUAACUGGACUGCAACUGACGCUGAGGCGCGAAAGUGUGGGGAGCAAACAGGAUUAGAUACCCUGGUAGUCCACACUGUAAACGAUGAAUGCUAGGUGUAAGAGGUAUCGACCCCUUUUGUGCCGGAGUCAACACAAUAAGCAUUCCGCCUGGGGAGUACGGCCGCAAGGUUGAAACUCAAAGGAAUUGGCGGGG
rnacentral:rRNA from 1 species